CAUCCGGGACUCUGGCGGUGUGGUUGCCCGGGUAGUUUUCUGGUAGCGACCUAGUAGUAAAAGGGUGUGCGCGCGGGUCCAGAGGCACUGGCCAGAGCUGGGAGGUUGCGGAAGGGCGCGCCGGCCUGGUCUUGAGAGGUCGGAAGUCUCCGGAAGCCCUCCACAUCCCUCUUUUUCAUUAACACACUCCAGCCUCACAAGUGAGGCGUCUUCCCAUCAGACCGUGAGCCGGUGCCGGGAGGGUGGAGGUGGAUGUAGCUCACUGCCACGCUACCACAGAAGAGCCAAAGCUGCUUUCUCAGCCACCGGAGAGCACGAAGAAGUAGAGGAAGUCAGGGAGAUUCAAAGUGUGAAAGAGAGUCUACAGAAGGAAUGUUCUACAUUGCUGAAAUGAAGAGGGCCACAGACAAGGACCUGAGCAAAGCCUCUAGAAGCUGAGAGUAGUCCCUGCCACCAGCCAAUGAAAAAAACUGGAGACCGUAGUCCUACAACAGCAAGGAACUGAAUCCUGCAAACAAUCUGAGUGAGCUUGGAAGGAAAUUCUUCCCCAGAGCCUCCAGAUAAGAGCCCAGUUUCUGACCGACAUCUUGCGUGGACUUAAGAUCUACAGAACUGUAAGAUAAUAAAUGGGUGUUGUUUUAAGGCA